GACGAACGCUGGCGGCGUGCUUAACACAUGCAAGUCGAACGGAAAGGCCCUGCUUUUGUGGGGUGCUCGAGUGGCGAACGGGUGCGUAACACGUGAGUAACCUGCCCUUGACUUUGGGAUAACUUCAGGAAACUGGGGCUAAUACCGGAUAGGAGCUCCUGCUGCAUGGUGGGGGUUGGAAAGUUUCGGCGGUUGGGGAUGGACUCGCGGCUUAUCAGCUUGUUGGUGGGGUAGUGGCUUACCAAGGCUUUGACGGGUAGCCGGCCUGAGAGGGUGACCGGCCACAUUGGGACUGAGAUACGGCCCAGACUCCUACGGGAGGCAGCAGUGGGGAAUAUUGCACAAUGGGCGGAAGCCUGAUGCAGCAACGCCGCGUGCGGGAUGACGGCCUUCGGGUGGUAAACCGCUUUCGCCUGUGACGAAGCGUGAGUGACGGUAAUGGGUAAAGAAGCACCGGCUAACUACGU
rnacentral:rRNA from 1 species